rnacentral:tRNA from 1 species
GGAAGAGAGUUAUCUCCGGUGAGGUAGCUGGUCUUCAAAACCAGAAGGGGCCGCUCGCCGGUCCUUGGUGGGUUCGACUCCCACUCUCUUCCGCCA